AUACGUAGGUGGCAAGCGUUGUCCGGAAUUAUUGGGUGUAAAGGGAGCGUAGGCGGAUCGUCAAGUUGAAUGUGAAAUCGACCGGCUCAACUGGUUGCUGCGUUCAAAACUGGCGGUCUUGAGUGGAGUAGAGGCAGGCGGGAUUCCUAGUGUAGCGGGGAAAUGCGUAGAUAUUAGGAGGAACACCAGUGGCGAAGGGGGCCUGCUGGGCUUUUACUGACGCUGAGGCUCGAAAGCGUGGGUAGCAAACAGGAUUAGAUACCCUGGUAGUCCACGCCGUAAACGAUGAUUACUAGGUGUGGGGGGACUGACCCCUUCCGUGCCGCAGUUAACACAAUAAGUAAUCCACCUGGGGAGUACGGCCGCAAGGUUGAAACUCAAAUGAAUUGACGGGG
rnacentral:rRNA from 1 species